rnacentral:rRNA from 1 species
AUGAUAAGGUCUUACAUAUUUUGUACUGUUCAGGUCCUUCAAUGGGUAUAUUGUGCGUCAAAGGUCCUGUUCAUCUGUAACAAAUUCCGUUGUAGACUGAGUCGUAUGUGUUCUUCAAUCUAUUUUCAUGUUGUUUUCUUGGGCCUUAGUGUUUUGAUUCUUGGGCGUUUUGACAAAUGCUUCACAAAUGAAGCUCAUGUUAACAAUUUCAGAGGUGUAGGUUGGUCUGCAGCUCAUGUGGGCGGAGGAGAAGCAUGCUUCAGUUUGUCCCACAAAAGUAGUUGCCUCAAUCCUUGCUGUCACCGUCGGAGACGAAACUUGGUGGUAAGCCUCUUCUCCUCUUCUCAGUUCUUUGCCUUUGCUUCGAAUGAUCUCUAUUUAUGUUAUUAUUGUUUAUAA